UUUUUGUCCUUUUGCCAUUUCUUGGGCUGCUCCAAUGGCAUAUGGAGUGGCCCAAGAAAUAGCAAAAAGCCAAAAAAAAAAAAAAAUUAAAAAAAAAUUAGAAUUAGUGUAGAUAACUGACAACUUUCCCUUUCCCAAGUUCUAGUGUUCCGAUUAGGGUGGUUAACUUACCCUUAUAGGCAUAGCAGAUAGAGGCAGAGCUUCAGCAGUUUGGUCCAGUUGUUUUUAAAAAUAGGCUACAAUGUGAGUCAGAGGUCCUGGUUUUUGUGUAAGUACCCCAAGGGGGUUCCUCCUUUGUCAUGUACAUAUAGAUGAAGGGGACAUGUUGGGUAAAUUUAAAGUGGGAGCUUUCAUGAGAUGGAUUUUUCAGUUUGAGGAAACUUGGUCACAGUUGGGGGUUCACUAGAAAGGGUCAAUGUCCUUCCCUUUUAAUUGUUCAUAAAGGGCUUAGCAAUUAAGCCAAAGUUGGGGAUCCAUAUGCAGCAGUACCCAGGAAAACUCUGAAACUACUUUCUUGUACAAGGGGGUGAUAUUUGGCAAACCAAUUCUUUCUACUCCUUAGUGCCCUGUGCCCCUUUUCUAUAAUGAACCUUAAAUUCUACCCACUUGAGGGAGAUUUGGGGUUUUUCCUUUGAAACUAUAUCCUUUCUCAGCCAGGUGAUUUAAGACAUUAACUUUAUCAUGGUCAGAAAGCUCUUUGCUGGGGCUGGCAAUUAAGAUGUCAUAUACUUGAUGGAGAAUAGUUCCCUGUUCUAACUUGAGGUCACUGAGGUUCUCAGCUAAAACUUUUCCCAAAAGGGCAUGGGAGUUUUUAACUCCCUGGGGCAAAACCAUCCAACACAAUAAUUGCUAUUUUUUCAAGUUGUUGGGUUCCUGCCACUCAAAUGCAAAAAUGUAUUGAGAUUCUAGGGUUGGGGGCACGCAAAAGAAGGUGUCUUUUACAUAUAACACUGAAUACCAGAUUCUCUUAGGUAUAGGGUAGAGGGUAAUGUGUUUGAGUUUGGUACUACAGGGGGACUCUCCUCUGUAGCUUCUUUUAUGGCCCUGAGGUCCUGAACUAGCUGGUAUUUCCCAUUUGUCUCCUUUCCUGGCAGAAUAGGAGGGUUGCAAGGGGAUGGCAGGUUCUAAGAAACCCUUGCUUGAGUAGGCUAUGUCCCUGCUAGGGCUUCUUUGCUUAAAGGGUAUUAUUGUUGUUUAUGUGGGUGACUGUGUCAGAAUCACAGCUUGACUAUAACCAGUGGUGCCCUCCUGGCUCUGCCCAUGGUGUUCUGGGCUUGUACUGAGGGAUUAACCUCCUCAAGAUUAAUCGGGCCCUUAUUCUUGACAGAGGGCAUUUGCACUAGGGCUACAGAAUGGAAGGGAGUCUUAGGUAUUUUGAUGAUAAGGUUUUUGUCUCUGAGAUAAAUUGUAGCUCCCAAUUUGUAUACUGAGUCUUUUUCUAUUAGAGGAAUUGGGCAUAUAAGAGUGAAAUAAGAUUCUCCCUUCCACAUCACACACAAGGGGCUCUGUAAAAUUAAAUUCCUGUGGCUUCCCUUCCACUUCCAUUAUCUUACCUUUAGCUUUGCUCAUUCUGCCUUGGCAGGUGUUCAAGAGUGAGUAGGUGGCUCCUGUAUCGACUAGGAAGCCAGUCCUUUUACCUGCCACCCCCAGUAAGAGUCAGCUAAGGCUCCUGCAGGAGCUCCUGAGCCCCUUUAGUCCUCUUUUUCUUUGAUAUAUGUGACCAGUGAGGAUAGCCUAGGACAUGGUGGUAUCCUUCCAGGAUGUCUGAGGCAUUACCCUUUCCAGUGGCCCUCUUCCAUGCAGUGUGCACACUGAUUGGCUUUGAGCCCUCUCCCCACUGUGGGCAUGACCUGGGGUGACUCAUCAGUGUCACAGGGUCCCUUCUGGAGGGCCCCAUCAUCACAGGGAGGUUGGUUGACUCUGAAUCUGCUGAGCCCAGAAUACUGGAAGUUUGUUCUACUCAUCUAUCUUCCUUGGCAUCUGCCUCUAGAUUGGCUACUGAACACUGGAAAUGCUGACUCUACCCCAGGAAGUGGGCAAGGUGGGCCCUAUCUCCAACUUCCCUAAUUUUCCAGCUUCUCCAACUUUCUGUAAUGUCUGGAGGCACUCUGGGAAGUGAAAUGGGACCUAAGAGUGGCCCGCCCUUCCACUGACUCCGGGUUCAUGUUCAUGAAUAUAUGAAGGCACUCCCUCAGGCAUUCCAGGAAAGCCUAAGGGUUUUCCUCAGUAUCUGGAUGACUCCCUGAACCCCAGUCCAGUUUAUGGGUUUCUUCCCAGCCUGUCGAAUACCCUUAAGAAUCAAAUCCCUGAAAUGUGUGAGGAGCUGCCAACCAUUUUCUAAGUGGUCCUACCCAGGGUUCAUAUCAAGAAUGGCCCAGAGUCAAGGCUAGUAUACAGCACACCCCAUAUUAUUUUGAUUGGUCUUAUCAGCUUCCUCCCUUGUAUUAGUUAAAAUCAAUUCCUUUUCUUCUCUGGAGUAUAAGAUGUUCAGGAGGGUUUGGACAUCCACCCAAGUGGAGUGUAGAAUAUUUCCUGGACUAAGCUAAGGACUCCCUUGUGGUCUUCCUUCAAACCCUUGGAUCUAUUCUUCCAGUUAUAUAGAUCUGAGAAGAUAAGGAUAUAUUAUACAUAGUGAUCAAAAUGCCCUUUCCAUCGGGGACCUCCCAAAGGGGAAAUAGCUUAUUGAUUCCGGAGGGCUGGUACUGAACACCACUGUGGGUAUGCUCUGGACUAGUCCCUGAGGGAGGCAUGCCAAGAGAUGGACGGGGGCGGGGGGGGGGAUGUCAGGGAGGAAUGAGGGGACCAAGUGGGUGGUGGUGAAUUGAAGGGAAUAGCAGGUGUCAGGGAACUAGGAGAGGUAGGAGUAGAUGACUCAGGAGUCUUGGGUUAACUGGUCAUAAAGGAGAGCAGCUACUCGUGGUGCAGGGAGGAACUCAAGAGGAUUCUCAGCCUGAGAUUCCAAUGCCAGAAGAGAAAGAUUAGAAAUAACCUCUCAUUUCUUACAGAGGCCCUUGUUUUGGCAAAGCACCAUGAAAUGCGGGACAUAUGGGAUCUCAUUCCAUUUUUCUUCAAAUGCUGGCAGUAGAGGUACAACUGAAAAAUGGUAUUAUAAUUUAGAAAGUCAUUUAGUUGGCCAACUUUCCCCAUACACAAAUUUAUACUGGGGCCACAAAGUGUUGCAAAAGAAAGUAAGCUCUUUGUUAGUGGGUGGCAAUUUCCAGUUACGGGAUGAACCUUAAUGGUGAUUUUGCUAGCAUAAAGGCUUGAUUAUCCCUACUGGGUAUUUCUAGUCUGUUUCAAACUUUCCAGUGGUCUCCUUCUAGGGUUGGGGGUGAUACAUAUGCCAAAAGAUCUAGCCCACACCAAGUGGCCUAGGUGCUCUAACUGAAACAUGAACCAAUCUUCAUGGGGGCAUUGAGAGGGGAAAUGAUGUUUAAGGAGGUCUUAGUUAUAAGGUCCCCUGAACAUUCCCAGACCAGUGUGGGGCUCUAGGAGAUACCUGAUGUAGGUGAGUGCUUUCAGCAAGCAGUCUCUGGAGAUAGGGUGAAGGCAGGGUGGGAAAUAAGGGUUCUCUAGCCAAAUAAAUUAACCAGAAAGCCUUUCAGGACAUCAAGGAGACUUGAUAAAAGAGGGCUUGUGCCUGGAGAGAGGGGAUUAAAGUGGUGCAGUAGAAGGACUGGAGCUCACCUUCUGUCAUAAAAACAACAAAAUUACAACCAACUGCUGAAGAAACUUCAACAAAAUAGACUAUCAAAAAAGAUAAUCUACCCCAGAAGACAAAGAGGAGGCCACAUCAAGAUGGUAGGAGGGGUGAUUACAUGAUAUAAGCAACUCCAUACCCACAGGGUGGGCAGCCUGCAGACUGGAAAGUAACUGUAUCACAGAGGUUCACCCAUAGGAAUGAGAGUUCUGAGCCCUACAUCAGGUUCCCACGCCUGGGAUCUGGCAUUGGGAGGACGAGCCCCCAGAGCAUUUGGCAUUGAGAGCCAGCAGGGCUUGUAUACAGGAGCAUCAUGGAACUGGGGGAAAUGGAGACUCCAUUAUGAAAGGCUUUCAUCUGCACUGGGUCCCAGGGAAAAGCAGAGACUCCAUGGGAAAAUGGGUCAGACUUGCCUAUGGUUCUUGGGAGGAUCUCCUGAGAAAAUGAGGUGUCUGUGAGCCAGGAGGGAAGGACAUUGGAGACAAAGGUCUUGAGAAUAAUCAUCAGUGUAUAUUUCUCUAGAGGUGGCUCUUUUGGAAAAAUAUGACCCUCCCCAUCAGGACUGAGAAGCCCCAGGCCAAACAACAAACAGGAUAGGAACACUACCCCAUUCAUUAGCAAAAAGGCUACCUAAAGAUCCCCCAGGCACACAGCUGCCUCUAAUCAUACCCAGAGACAAAGCCCCACUCAACAAAGGGAUAAGAAUCAGGUCCACCUACCAAUGGGCAGGCACCAUUCCCUCCCAUUAGGAAGCAAGAAAGUCUACAACCCUACUGUAUGCAAAAAGGAGUCAAUCUUAAGACAACAAUGGGACAGUGUUAAACACACCAACAUCCAUAUUAUAGGGGUGCCAGAAGGAGAAGAGAGAAAGGGUCAGAGGAAAUAUUUGGAGAGAUAAUAGCUGAAAACUUCCCUAACAUGGGAAGGAACCAGUCACUCAAAUCCAAGAAGCAUGAGUACCAUAUAAAAUAAACCCAUGAGGAACACCCCAAGACACACAUUAAUCAAACUGACCAAAAUUAAAGACAAAGAGAAAAUAUUGUAAGCAGCUAGGGAAAAGAAAUAACAUACAUGGGAACCCUGAUAGGGUUAUUAGCUGAUUUUUCAAUAGAAACCCUGCAGGCCAAAGGGGAGUGCCAUGAUAUACUUAAAGUGAUGAAAGGGAAGAACUUCCUGAUAAGAUUACUCUAGCCAGCAAGGCUCUCUUUCAGAUUCAAAGGAGAAUUUACAGACAAGCAAAAGCUGAGAGAAUUCAGCACCACUAAACCAGCUUUAUGACAAAUACUAAAGGAACUUCUCUAGGCAGAAAAGAAAAAGCCACAGCUAGAAACAAAAAUAUUACAAAUGACAAGCCUCAUCAGUAAAGGCAUACAUAUAGUAAGGCAUACAUCAUCCACACACAAAUAUGCUACCCAAAGCAGAAAUUGUGAGAAGAAGGUAUAAAUGCAGGAUGCUGGAGAUGCAUUUGCAACAGAGAAACAAACAACUUAAAAACAAUCUUGUGUGUGUGUUCCUAUGUCAAAACUUCAUAGUAACUGACAACCAAAGAUCUACAAUAGAUACUCAAAUAAGAAAAAGCAGUCUAAACAACACUAAAUAUAGUGAUCAAACCACAAGAGAAAAAAGAGAAGAGACCAAAACAGUAAAAUGGCAAUAAGAACAUAUGUAUCAAUAAUUACCUUAAAUGUAAACUAAAAGCUCCAACCAAAAGACAUAGACUGGUUGAAUGGAUACAAAAACAAGACCCAUAUAGAUGUUGUCGCCAAGAGACCCCACUUCAGUUUUAAGGACACAUACAAAUUGAAAGUGAGAGGAUAGGGUGUUCCUGUUGUGGUGCAGCAGAAACAAAUCUGACUAGUAUCCAUAAUGAUGUGGGUUUGAUACCUGGCCUCAGUUAGUGGGUUGGAGAUCUGGCGUUGCCAUGAGCUGUGGUGUAGGUCAGAUCCUGUGUUACUUUGGCUGUGGUGUGUAGGCUGGCAGGUGCAGCUCCGAUUCAACCCCUAGCCCAGGAACCUCCAUAUGCUAGGGUAUGGCCCUAAAAAACAAAAUUAAAAAAAAAAAAGUGAGAGGAUGGAAGAAAAUAUUACAUGCAAAUGGAAAUCAAAAGAACGCUGGAGUAGCAAUACUCAUAUCAGACAAAUACACCUUAAAAUAAAGAAAAUUACAAUUAUUAUAAUUAUUGAUCAAAGGAUCAAUCCAAGAAGAUGAUAUAACAAUUAGAAAUAUAUAUGCACCCAACAUAGGAUUGCCUCAAUAUAUAAGGCAAUGACUAAUAACCUUAAAAGGAGAAAUUGACAAUAACAUAAUAAUAGUGGGGGACUUUAACACCCCACUUAGAACAAUGGACAAAUCAGACAGAAAAUCAACAAGGGAACUCAGGCCUUAAAUGAUGCAUUAGACCAGAUGUAUUUAAUAGAUAUUUAUAUUCCAUCCAAAUGCAGCAGAAUAGACAUUCUUUUCAAGUGCACAUGGAAUAUUCUCUAGGAUAGAUCACAUUCCGGGACACAAAUCAAAUGUCAGUAAAUUUUAAAAAAUUGAAAUCAUAUCUAACAUCUUUUCUGACCACAAUGCUAUGCAACGGGAAGUCAAUAAGAAAAAACUGCAAAAAAACACAAAACACCUGGAGUCUAAGCAACAUGCUACUAAACAACCAAUCCAUCAUUGAAGAUCUCAAAGAGGAAAUUAAAAAUACCUAGAAACAAAUGACAACAAAGACACAACAAUCCAAAACCUGUGGGAUGUAGCAAAAGCAGUUUUAAGAGGAAAGUUACAAGCCUACUUCAGGAAACAAGAAAAAUCUCAAAAAAAAAAAAA
rnacentral:lncRNA from 1 species